UGGGGGAAUAUUGGGGCAAUGGGCGCAAGCCUGACCCAGCAACGCCGCGUGAAGGAAGAAGGCUUUCGGGUUGUAAACUUCUUUUGUCAGGGACGAGUAGAAGACGGUACCUGACGAAUAAGCAUCGGCUAACUCCGUGCCAGCAGCCGCGGUAAUACGGGGGGAUGCGAGCGUUAUCCGGAUUUAUUGGGUUUAAAGGGUGCGUAGGCGGUCCGGUAAGUCAGCCGUGAAAAGCCCCCGCUCAACGGGGGUCGUGCGUUUGAUACUGUUGGACUGGAAUGCGGAUGCCGUGGGAGGAAUGUGUGGUGUAGCGGUGAAAUGCAUAGAUAUCACACAGAACACCGAUUGCGAAGGCAUCUCACGAAUCCGCAAUUGACGCUGAGGCACGAAAGCGCGGGUAUCGAACAGGAUUAGAUACCCUGGUAGU
rnacentral:rRNA from 1 species